UGAAGCUCAUGGACUGAAGAUGGUUUGAGCAUCCACCGAUUAAGUUAAUUAAUUAAGGCAUAUUUUUGUUUUUCUUGUUUGUUAGUUUUAAUCAUUCAACACUUCAAUUAAUAUUACUUUGUAGAACAUGUUAGGAACGUUUAAACUUGUCUUUACAUAAUCAUCUUUUGGACCGUUUGUAGCUUUGAACACCUCGUCUUGGAUACCAACAUCUAAAAUGUUAUUUUGCACUUUAGAUCUGUAAAAUCGAAUUGCCGCCAUUUUCAUCGUGGUGUGGUGUGGCGGGGGUUCGCGAGUUGUUGGAAGGAAGGAAGGAAAAAACGGGAUAUGGGAGGCAAAAAAAUCGAGAAGAA